AGAGUGUGGAGUGUGCAAAGACAUCAUUGAAUCUGUGUUGAAGGAGAAGCUGCAUUCUAAUGAGGGGAACCUGGCAGAGAAGUCAACCUUAGCUUGGAAGCUCAGGCAAUAAAGUAUCCUAAUUAAAGAUCAGGAGCAACAGCUGACCCUGUUAUGGCAGAAAUUACAGGAAGGGAGAGACAUCUCUGUCUUAAUCAACACCUCAAGGGCCUCCUCACCCACAAUGACCUUGACAACUACCAGCGGCAGGGCUUCUGAGAGCAACUGGCUAAGGGACACAGGCUGGCAGAGAGCAUUGUCUGCAAGCUCAGCCCAGAAAAUCAUGAAGAUGAGGAGGAUGAACAAGCACAAGAAACACUCACUCCCAGUUUGCCAAGAAGAUUCUGACUGUGACCAGCCUUACAGUGAUGGCAAAUUCACAUUUGCUGAACAGGAAGUCGGCUCUGCUCUGGAUAUAAACUGUGAAUGUUCCCAUCCUAAAGGGGAUGAAAUUUCAAAUAUUCUCCCAGCAUGGAGCUGCAGAAAUUUAAAAAGAAAAAAGUCCUGCAAGAUUCACAGGAUGAAUGUGUUUUGCCCUCUUCAACUUGCCAAGAAGAGUCUGACUGUGACCAGCCUUACAGUGAUGGCAAAUUCGCAUUUGAUGAAAAGGAAGUCAGCUCUGCUCUAGAUGUAGGCAGUGAACACUACCAUUCUAAUGGGGGUGAAACUCUGACUCCUCUCCCAGUUUAUUUGCAGAAAACCAAAAUGAUCAUGAGCAGGCGAAAGGACAAGAGCCAGUUGCCCCCAGGCUCUGCAGGGAGCUGCCACAGAAGGUCGAGCAUGACAUACCAUGGGACCCGCUGGAUGAAUACUAUUUGACUUCUUCAGAUCUUCCUGGCCUGUCCAACUCCUACUGUCCUUAUAGGAAUGCUGCUACCAUCUCAUUUGAGGAACUGGAAGUCUAUUCUGCUCUAGAUAUAACUUAAAAACAUACUGAUCUUGAGGAGGAAGAAGACCAAGUCCGCAUAUAUGUUCCAGUCUUCCCAACUCCACAAGGCUCAUCAGGGAGUUGCCAUUGGUAGAAGAGAAUGAAGUCCCACAGGACUCACUGGAUGAAUGCUAUUUGACUCGUUCAAUUGGCCAUGACCUGUCAGCCUCCUGUAGGCUGUACAGAAGGGUCUCAUUAUUAUUCGAUGAACAGGCAGUCUUCUCAGCUUUGGAUGUACACAAACUGUGUUUGUGCUUACUUUGGAAUGAACAACCCUCCCAAGCUAGAGGGUGAUGCUCUUGAAGGCUCAGCUUCCAGCAAGCAUGGAUGUCAAGUCAUUGGCCACAUUGAUGCCUUAAGUGCCCUGAAAUAGAGGAUUAUCAAAAGAAAACUGCAGCUCAGCAAGUGGAGACUAGCAUGCAGAUUCCCUGGCCUUCAAGCUUAGGGUCCAGAGAAAAGCUGAAUAUCAGCCAUGGAUGGACUUAGCAUUCCUCCUUCAACAAAACUCUUUGUACAGCCUGGAGAAAACAGAAAAGAAAAAAGAGAGAUUGAUGGGUUAGACAUAUGCUCUCUCUACGUGGAUCAAAGUUUCUCACAAUUUUUAUAGGACAAGAUACAAAGCCAAGUCCUUCUGGAAGUAAGAAAAGAUACUGCUGAUUUCAAAGAAACCGCCUCAUUAAAAAGUAGCUUUUCCACUUGAUGAAAGAAUCUAGAACUGUGAAGGGAUCCUUUGCAGAGAAUCAACAUCACAACCGCAAACAACUCUCCAUGAUUUUUACUCCAAAAGCCUGAUUCAAUGGGAGAAAUCCCAGCCUUUCAGCCUCCAAUUGUGAUAAAUCACGAAGAGAGCAAUGCCUAGAUCAACAUGCAGUUCUGAAAAAUCUUAACCCUUGCUCUUCUCAAUUCCCAUACUGUACAUCACCAAAAUCAGGAGCAACUGGAAAAAGACAACAUGAGAAACUGGACGUUCUUUGCCACCAGCAGGGCUGUGCUAGGAGCAGACAGCAUUAACUGUGCGGAGGUCUUGUUGAGAAUGUUUAGUCUGAAUUUAAUCGUGAGGUCAUUAUCAGACAACGGCAGAAUUUAGACCGCUGAACAAGUCAACCGGCCUGUCUUUCUUCAAACAGUCAAUAUCAUCACAAGUAAGAUGACAAAAAGGAGAAGAGAUAUUUUAGGAUCCAAAGGACUGAAAAGAUUAUGUUACUAUGUUUCUUUAGUCCUUUUGAGCCGAAGACGUUCCUCACCUUUUUGUGAUUGCCUGCGGUGGUGGUGACAUUGCCUUGUUUGUAGAGGACAGGUCAGUCGUCUGGCUCAAUGGUCUACAUUCUCAAGUUGUCUGACCAUUUCCUCAUGAUUAAAUUCAGGCUCACACUUUUGCCGAGAACACCUCACAGUUAACGCUGUGUGCUUCCUAGCGCAGCCCACCCGGAGACCAGAAUGACCAGUUUAUCCACCACCAUUACUGUGAGAACAUUGGUCACUUUGUUAUGGAGGGGCCUAGGAGAUCUGUCCAUUGUAAAGACACAUUUUUUUCUUUCUAUAAUCAGUAAUUUGGGGAAAGGUACUUUGAGAGUGUGUGAAUAUCCUCUUCUCUAAAGAUCUUUUUCUAAAACUUUUACCAUCCAUUCAUGAUCCCUGCUGUGUGUCGAUUGUCAUAUUGGUGUUUGUACAUUGGGGAUCUUCCAAUUUUAUCAUUCCUAUAUACAUGUAUUUGCUGGCCUUGUGCUGUGGAAAAGAACAUUCCCUCCCCCUUCCAUAUCAUUAAAAUUUUUGUUUUGACUA